UUUUCUCAAAUUGCAGGAAACUAUAGCUUCUUAGCUAUCCAUUCUCGCCAUUCAAACCUUAGUCUGAAUGUUGAGGUUCAUGUCAAACCUGCUAUACCAAAUCCAAAAGUGGAGCAUGAUGGAAAAAACUUCUCCACGGUCAUUGAAAAUAAUAAAAAGGUCUUUGAAGAGGACCUGUUAAAAAUUGGCUCUGUAGUCCGAAUAUUAGAAGAAAAAUGUGUCAAGCUAAAUGAAGAGAAGGAAAAAAUUGAGCAAACUAUGAAAAAAUUGC